rnacentral:lncRNA from 10 species
ACACUUCCUGAGUGGACAAGGUGGGUGGGUGAUCCAGUUGUCCACUAAGAAAGUGCCCUUGGGCUUCUGAGCUGGUUGGGUGAUCUGCCUGCCAUAUGUGGCUUCCCAUGGGACUCUGCAAAGGUAGCACCAGGUCACCAAGAGGUGUGAACAGAAGGAACAGUCCACUGCCACUCACUGUCUUACUGUGGCUAUCUUGAAAUGUGGCAUUCAUAUCUAUCCCCAAAUUCAAUGCCAGAAGCUGCUGAUAAAGCAUAGUCAGAAGCUGAUUACGUUUAGAAAUAUGUUUCCUGGUGUGUAGGUAGAAAUAUGUUUCCUGGUGUGUAGGUGCAGGGGGCAUCUUUCAGUGUGCCUUGUGCUUUGCCCAUUGCUGCAGCAGCCAGGGGCAAUGUUAUUUCUGUAAACCAAUGAGAAUUCCUGACAAACAACUUCGUAUCAGCCCACUCACUCCCUGCACCUCCUUUUUGCCUUUAAAAAUCCACACGUGGCCAGGCGCAGUGGCUCAUGCCUGUAAUCCCAACACUUUGGGUGGCCGAGGUGGGUAGAUCACCUGAGGUCAGGAGUAUGACAGAGUAAGGCCCUGUCUCUAAACAAAAUAAAAACUAAACACAAAAAUGUAUGAAUAUAAAACCAGCAUAAAGAAACAUUACAAAUUCAAAACUUAAAAAGCUGACAAAACCUAAAAAUAUAACAUUAUCUUAUUACUUAAUUGCAUA